rnacentral:tRNA from 1 species
UCCGAUAUGGUCUAGUGGCUAGGAUUUGCCGCUCUCAUCGAGAGUACAACACUCUAGCAGUGCCGGCAAGGCCCGGGUUCGAUUCCCGGUGUCGGAA